AGCUGUUUAUUGUUUGUUUAUUGGCAGGUUAUGGAGUCACCGCAUGUUUCGGCUAGAGUGAAACGCAGGGCGGCGGUCCGUUAGCAGUUCCCCGCCGAGCAUGACUCCAGCUCGGGCAUGAGAACCAGCGCCGUUACGCAUGGGUGACUCACUCAU